GGCUGUGACUGAGAGCUGUGAAGGGACCUCCUGGGAUGCCAAGACAAGCCCAAGCCUCCGAGGGACUGAACUGGCUUUAAAGAUCUGGCAUUUGGAAAAUAAGAAUAACGGGUGCGGAGUCUUGUUUCGUUCUGUGCCCAGCACUGCUGCAAGUGAUCUACGUGCAUUAACUCACUCAAAGCUUCACAUCCGCAUCGCGGCUAUAAGUAAUCGACAUGCGGUUGGAUCAUUAUAAGAUCUCAGCAUAGGAGCCUAAAGAGUGGACUUCUCAAAAUGAAGAGGUCACAGUCACAAAACCACACCGGAGACUAAAGCGUCCUCUAUUUCUGCAGCUACAUAGUGUUUUCAGUUUCCCUGGCUCUUUAUCAGGAAUGUGUGGGGAGCUUGACUCCAAAUCUGCAACUCUGCUUCAUCCUCCCCAGUUUCUAGCAGACCAGAAGCCUGUUCUCUAGACCAGAGCUUCUCCAACUCUAGAUUCACACAGAUUUUUACCGGAGUAUCUUAUAAAAAAUGCUGGCUCUGAUUCAGUAGGGUGGAGAUGCGACCCAAGAUUCUACAUUUCCUAAUACACUUCCCCAUGAUUUUGAUGCAGCUGGUCCACAGAUCACACAUCUGGACCCAGACCAUCCAAUUCAGUAGC